UACGGGGGGGGGCAAGCGUUGUUCGGAAUUACUGGGCGUAAAGGGCUUGUAGGUGGCCAACUAAGUCAGACGUGAAAUCCCUCAGCUUAACUGGGGGAACUGCGUCUGAUACUGGAUGGCUUGAGUUUGGGAGAGGGAUGCGGAAUUCCAGGUGUAGCGGUGAAAUGCGUAGAUAUCUGGAGGAACACCGGUGGCGAAGGCGGCAUCCUGGACCGAGAUUGACGCUGAUGCGCGAAAGCCAGGGGAGCAAACGGG
rnacentral:rRNA from 1 species